CUCUGUAAUUCUGGGCCGUGUUCCGGAAGCCUCGUAAGACAAAAGCGAACGAGAGGCGGAAAAAAGGAAGACGCUUCCUGAAGUUGGGGGUAUGAGACAGAAGUUGGGGGUAUGAGACAGAAGUUGGGGGAGAGUGGGUUUCCAAUCCGAGUAAAAGGCAGUGUGGUGGAAGUUAACAAGAGAAAAUGUUGAGACGAGGUAGAGCAGGCAGGAAUAAACGAAGUAAGGUGUUUUUAUUAGGAGUGAAGGAGAGAGACGAGUGCUGUUGUGUGAAACGUAGGUGCGGGUAGUUGAAUCCCUAGUUUUCUGCAGCAGAAGCCGAAAAUAACGCUAAAAAUAAGUUCAGUUGCCCGGGACAGAGUUGCGCACGUUAUAACCACACGGUGUACGCCUCUUAAGAACUCAGCAGUGAAAUACACUUUCGUAUGUUCUGCUUUUGUCUCUAAAAGUGUUCCAAAAUGGAGGUGUUUUUACUUUUUAAAGAAACUAAAUGCAAAUAGGCAAAGGUGUGUGACCAUCCCUUAGAAAACGAAUGUCCACGCUUCUGCCACGCCAGGAUGGUCUACCUUUCUUCAGGGUGAAAUUAGUAAGUAAAAGGCUGCUGCAGCACCGAGAAAGGACCGAUGCAGGAAGGAUGCAGGAAGGCACCAAACUUGGUUCUAAUCUUGGCUCUGCUAACAAAUUGGUGUCAUUGCACAGGUCACUUCAAUUCUUCUGGGCCUCAGUUUCGUUAGAUAGUCCCAUAGGUAUCAUUUCAGAUAUUUCCCAAUGCGAUACUGUUCCCACUUCAUUUACUGUUGCCCUAACUUGAGAGAGCUUGAAGUUAGAAAGAGAUUUAUACACAAAACACCAGCAGGAGCGAUUUCCCUUUUUUGCAAAAUAUCUUUAUAAUUUCAGUUAAACAUGUAUUUUCUUAAGAUUUGUGGCUUUGUAAUAACUCUUGCAAUGUCAGCAGUUUUCCUCGGAAAAGGAAGCAUUUCUUAAUUAGAGCAUACCCACAAGAUACUCCCAAAUAGUUAAUAUUUUAUAUUCUGGAACUUAUUCCUAUCUGUUUGAAAUCAAAUGUAGUCAGGAAUUAGAUUGUGAAUGUCUCAUAUUCUCAGGGUAACAAAUGAAAGUGUCUUCCGCUAAUGAAAGAACAAAGAUAAUUGUGUGAUUUGCAAAUGUUAGGUGUUGAACCAAAACCCAAAGACUAAUUAAUGAUUAACGAGGUGUUAGGAGUUUUGUUAAAAAAAGAAAUUGCUGGGCAUGUUGGUGGGUUCCUGUAACCCCAGCUACUCUGGAGGGUGAGGCAGGAGAAUUGCUUCAACCCGGGAGGCGGAGGUUACAGUGAGCUGAGAUCACGCCAUUCCACUCCAGCCUGGGCGACAAAAGCGAAACUCCAUUUCAAAAACAAACAAACAAAAAAACCUCUGUGUGAUCUUAUAAAAAUGAGGCCGGGUGCAGUUGCUAACAUCUGUAAUCCCAGCACUUUGGGAGGCCAAAGCGGGUGGAUCACAAGGUCAAGAGAUCAACACCAUCCUGGCCAACGUGGUGAAACCCCCUCUCUACUAAAAUACAAAGAUUAGCCAGCAUGGUGGCGGGCACCUGUAGUCCCAUAUACCAGGGAGGCAGAGGCAGGAGAACCACUAGAACCUGGGAGGUGAAGUUUGCGGUGAGCGAAGAUUGUGCCACUGCAUUCCAGCCUGGGCGACAGAGCGAUACUCCAUCUCAAAAAAAAAAAAAAAAAAUGAAUACUCCCUAUGGCUUUUCAUCCCUUAGAGUGUGCUUUUGUAAGUCUAUUGCCCUGUGUAGUUGUCAUUAAAUUAAUAUGCCAGAUAAAUAACAGAUGAACAGUGUUUAUGGAGCAUCACAAAAUCUCUUUGGCUGGAAACUUUUUUACAUGUGUCUUAAAAUCGCUAUAUUUUCUGUAGUCUGUAAGGAUCACAGAUGUAGCGAGAAAACCUAUGGAUAAAUAAAAGUCGGUUUACUAAGACAAAAUGAAUUACAUCUGGAUGCAAACAUUACAUAUGUGAUUUAUCUAUAUUAGCCAUGUACCCUUGGGAGUACAUGAAUGUAGAAACCUUAGCAUCUCAUAAAGAAGAAUUACAUUAAAGCUCCAAUAAGGGAAAACUGAUACACAUAAACAUCUGACUACUAAAAAAUUAAGAGUUAACAGUGAAACUUGCCCCUUAAGUCGAAACCUCUCAAAGUAAUGCUCAUUUAAAUGACAUUAUAUCACUGAUAAAGUAUCAACCAAAGUAUGCUUGUAAUAGAUAAUUUUAUUCCAUUACUUCUGAAUCUAAAUCUUGAGCAGAAAACCUUAACCUAAAGGAUCAGACUUCUAGUAGAAUCCUAGGAAACUGAAUUUGCGCUUCUCUGAAUAGUUUAUGGAAAACUAUCACAAUAGCAGUUUUUUAAAAUAAAAUAAUAUUUUUAACCUUAUGUGAUGAGAACUUUUAUUUCCUUUUACGCGUUUAUGCUUUACUUCCCUACAAGUUGCAAAGGUGUUAACCAAUCAGUAAUAUAUAUUGAAUAGAUCUAACUAGAGUUCUCCUAGGCAGAAAAGGACAUAAGUAGAUCAUGCGUCUCUACUUACAAGGAAAUUCCUGAAUAGUUACAGACCUUUACUUAUAAAAAUGAAAUAAUUAUUGCAUGAAAAAAAUGAAUAUUCCAAAUUACAAAUAAAGGUAAUUGAUAGUCUUCAUUUAACACUAUAAAUUACAAAGUGCUUUACUUACUUUUUUCAUUUAGGGUAAUAAAGACAGGUAGAUUUAACUCCAUUACUUAAGGGAUGGAAAAGAUCAAAUAUAAGUGAUUUGUUAAUUGAGAAGCAGUUUAGGAUCAUUAUUAAGAACACUGACUCAUGAACUGCCUGAAUUUUUAUUUGUUUGACUUUGAGCAUACUUAACCUUCUGUGCCUGUUUCCCCAUCUGUAAAAUGAGGAAAACUACACAAAACUACAUCUAAUUGUUGAGGAACUAAAAGUAAUACUUGAAGAGCCUGAUAUAUAAUGAGUACUCAUUGUUAUUCAAGGACAUAGACUAUACCAUAAAUAACCUUUUUUUUUUUUUUAAAGUCCCAAAGCUUAUUCCAAUACGGUGUUUUGUUCAUGGCCAUUUUUUAUGAUUGGAUAGAUUCAGCUGUGCACAUUUUAAGUGCUUAAGGAAGGGAAAGAUGGAUAUGAGUUCAAAUCUUGGGAGGUUUUACAAAACAGGUAAGACUUAAAUCAGUGCUUGAGAAGAAGUGCAAAUACACUUUAGGAAAAUGACCUGACAUUAAUUUUUUUUUUUUUUUUUUGAGAUGGAGUCUCGUUUUGUUACCCAGGCUGGAGUGCAGUGGUGCGAUCUAGGCUCACUGCAACCUCUGCCUCCCGGGUUCAAGCGAUUCUCCUGCCUCAGACUCCCGAGUAGCUGGGAUUACAGACAUGCACCACCACGUUUGGCUAAUUUUUGUAUUUUUAGUAGAGACGGGGUUUCACCAUGUUGGCCAGGCUGGUCUCAAAAUCCCAACCUCAGGUGAUCCGCCCACGUCGGCCUCCCAAAGUGCUGGGAUUACAGGCGUGAAUCAUCACGCUUGGUCCUGACAUUAAUAUUUAGCGGAGGUAAAAACUGAAGAUAAAAAGGCCAGCAGGAGUUCAGAUAUGCGUUUCUGAUUUGUAGCAGUAAGAAUGGAGAGGCAUAUUCUGUGCUCACAGAGGUUAAUAAGUAAUAAAAGAAUGGAGAGGCAGAAAAAAAGUGAUUUGAAGACAGAGCUUAAGAAAGGUGAUGAGGCCAGACCCAGUGGCUCACGUGUAAUUUCAGCACUAUGGGAGCCUGAGGUAGGAAGAUUGCUUGAGUCCAGGAGUUUGAGGCUAGCCUGGGCAAAAUGGCAAAACCCCAUCUCCACCAAAAAAAAAAAAAAUUAGCUGAGCAUGGUGUCAUGCACAUGUAGUGCCAGCUACUUGGGAGGCUGAGGCAGGAGGAUAGCUUGAGCCAGGGAGGUUGAGGCUGCAGAGAGCCAUGUUGGAGCUACUGCCCUCCAGCUUGAGCAAUAGAGUGAAACCCUAUCUAAAAAUGGAAAAGAAAAGAAAUGAGGCAGACAGCAAAUCCUAGGUGGCAUAGUAAUGGUGGUUGGUGAAUCAGAGGUUAGCAAGAUUAGGGAGACACAGGAAAAGGCAAGACUGCUUGUUAACAAAGUAGAUGGGGCCAAUCUGUAGAACUGUGUAAACAUGAUACACUUUGCUCACUAGCCAAUGGCAAGGCCACGGAACAUACUGGUGAUACUUACACGGGCAUAUACUUUACCUUAAAGAUCUGGAGAACCGGUAUAUCUCAGGAGGCCCUCUGUUUCACCUCAUAAGGGGCAAUAUAUAUUAAUAAAAUACUUACGUAUGCUUUUAUGCAUUCUUUAUGGUAUUUUUAAAAUUGAUUUUUAUUAUUAAAAUUUUUAGACCAGGUGCAGUGGCUCACACCUGUAUUCCCAGCACUUUGGGAGGCCAAGGUGGGCAGAUUGCUUGAGCCCAGGAGGUUAAGACCAACCUGGGAAACAUGGGGAAAAACCCAUCUCUACUAAAAAUACAAAAAUUAGCUGUGCAUGGUGGCCCACACCUGUAUUCACAGCUACUUGGAAGUCUGCAGUGGGAGGAUCACUUAAGCCCAGUGAGCCGUGAUCAUGCUACUGCACUCCAGUCUGGGCGACAGACUGAGACUGGUCUCAAAAAAAAAAAAAGAAAAAAAAUUUUUUUUUUUUUACCAGCCAUUUUUUACUCCCCAAAUCCUGCUCUCCCUUUACAUUAUUUUUAUUUUGGAAACUGGGCUGCUAUAACAAAAUACAUUAGACUUGGUAAUUUAUAAACAACAAAAAUUUAUUUUUUACAGUUCUGGAGGCUGAGAAAUCCAAGAUCAAAGCAACAGUAGACUCUGUGUCUGAUGAGGGCCUGUUCCUUAUAGAUGACACUUUCUUGCUGCAUCCUCACAUGGCAGAAGGGGGCAAGGCUGCUCCGUUCAACCUCUUCAGUAAGGGCACUAAUCCUGUUCAUGAGGGCAGAGUCCUUAUGACUUACUUCCCAAAAGACCCCAUCUCUUAAUGCUAUCAUAUUGGAUAUUAGGUUCCAACAUAUGAAUUUUGGAGGACACCAGUAUCCAGACCACAGCAGAAGCCAAAAAAUGACAAAACAUUCUGGCUAUAAUAUGCUGUGUAUAAUACAUUCCUGAAAAUCUUCACAUUUUAAGAAAAUGGCUCACUUAAAAUAAGAGCCUAAGGAAAAAAUAAGUCUGGGAAAGCCCUCUCAAACUCUGAACAACUGAGCGGUGGUUCCCAAACUUUGCUACUUACUGAUAUGAUCUUUAAAAACUGAUAGCUGGCUCCCACACUCAAGACAUUCUGAGUUAAAUAGAAUGAGGUUCAGCUGGGCCUCAGUAUUCUAAAACAUCCGUAGUUAACUAAUAAACAACAAAGUCUGGCAACCACUGAACUGUAGUAUUAACAGACAAUAACAACCGAAAUGAAAAUAGUAGUUCAUUUAGAAGGACGUGUAAAACUCCUAACAAAUAAAGCAAUGUUAUAUUAACUUAAAGAGUUUUACCUUUUUAAAAAAGUUGAAGGUUGCUUAAAGAAUGACAGUUUACAGAAGGGUAGACACUGAUGAGUGAUGGAAACAAGGGCGGGAGAUCAUCAGAAGUAGCAGAUGGAGAAGCAGUUGCAAACUUUGCAGGAAAUGUGGAGUUGCCAGAGAUGGAUGGCUCUGACUCGUUGUCUGAUGUCGCUUUUGCCCAAAGAUGUGAGGGAGCUGCAAAAUAAGCACUAUCAAAAUGGAGCAUAUGGCUGAACCAAGCCCAGGGAAGAAUGGGGUCCCACACCGUGAAAGGUCAUCAUUUGAGUGCUAUACUCCCCCAGGCCUGGUUCAAUCACAAAACUAAGUGCAAUAAUUGUACUUCAGCUAUUGUGUCUUUGUACUACAAAGCAUUAAAGUGCUAUGAAAAAUUAUGUAUGAACCAACCCACUUUCCCUAUUAUUCUAACAUUACUCUCCUGUUUAACAAUCUCAUGUGACCUCAUGUGUACUAUAAAAAACAGUACUCGGCUGGGUGUAGUGGCUCAUGCCUUUAACCCCAGCACUUUGGAAGGCCAAGGCAGGCAGAUUACUUGAGCUCAGGAGUUCCAGACCAGCCUGGGCAAUGUGGUGAAAUCCUGUCACUACAAAAAAUUAGCCAGGCGUGAUGAUGCGCACCUGUAGUCCCAGCUACUCAGGAGGCUGAAGUGGGAGGAUUCCUUGAGACCAGGAGGCAAAGAUUGCAGUAAGCCAAGAUCUUCUCACUGCACUCCAGCCUGGGUGAUAGAGCUAGACCCUGUCUCAAAAAUAAAAAAUAAAAAAGACAAUACUGUAACAUAACAGACUAUGUUAGUAUUCCACUGAGAAUCUGGAGUUUAAAUAAUGUCAUCCUGCCCCUGUUUUACUUAUCUCCUUCUGUGGUUCAUACUGUCCUUUAGCACCAAGUAAUUCUUUAGGUAGGCAGUUCUUCCACCUCUGACUUUGCCCUAGAAGGGUACUUGAAUUCGUAUAACUUGGGCAGCUUUAUUUAAAUAGCACAUACAGCAUAUGACUAAUCCAAAUGGAGCACCCAUACCUGAUCAUUUUUCAAUAUCUUUUUUUAAAAAAUAAAUUACCAUGUAUGUGUUAUCACUAUAGUGAACCAGAUUAGGGAACUUUAUUUUAAGCUGAGUACAUUUGCUUUCUUUUUUAUUGUUUUGCUUGGCUUUUAAAAAUUGUCUUUAGCAGCUUGGAUUGCAAUACAGGUAAAAUUAUACUGUCAUUUCCAUUGAAUUUUUUGCAUGCCAAAAUUGGAAAAUAAUAUUGAUAUCAGAAAUUACUUAGGUCACUAGGAUCUUCAGUCUGAAUUCAUUCCUUAAUGUUAUAAUCCACACAGAAGGAACAGAUUGAUUUGGACUUGUUGCAGACAUUGUAUGGCAAGGUAGAGCAAUGCUAAUUUAUUGAUUUUUUUUUUUUGGAGAAAAAUACUGAGGUUAGGCAAUGAGAGAUGAAUAAUGUAAGAAGGUAUAUAGAAAUGUAAAUGGAAUAGUGAGAGUGAAGUAUAAGAAUUACAUUGACAAAAGCUAAACAUAAAUAACCUUGAGUGACCAAUAGAAAGCAAAUGCCUGAAAUUACAUUAAAACACAUGGGGAGCAAAUAAGGGUUGAAAAUUACUUAUUGGGUACAAUGCUCACUACUCAGGUGAUGGGUGCACUAAAAGCCCAGAUUUCAUAUAUGCAUGUAAGAAAGCUGCACUUGUACCCCCUAAAUAUUAAAAAAAAAUUUUAAAUUAAAAACAUAUGGGGCAGAAAAAAAUCAAGGCUUUCCCUUAUUUUUGAUAAAUUCUCAUUAUAUAAGUUUUGUUUCAUUUUUGUAACAAAUCAGAAUGACUCUCCCACUUCCACCCUUUUUCUUUCAGACUAUGGAUCACAGAUAUUUAGAGCUAAAAGGGAACCUAAGAAUUUUCAAAUUUACAUUCUGUGUCAUGUGGAUUAGGAAACUGAAUCCCAAAUAAGUUCAUUGACUCUUUUAGGGUUACAUAGUAGAACCUACAAUCAAGGCCUCCUGGAUUCUAGUUCAGUGCUUCUUACAAUAGUUAAUAAUAAAAGUAACUGUUCUACUUGAAGGACAAAAUUUUGAGUUUAUAUGUACAUAUGAUCAGCGCAUAUCCAUGGAUACGUCAUUGCUAUUGUAUGUAGACUUUUUCGGAAAUCAGAAGGAAUAUGUAUACCUUUGAGUCCAAAUACUCAAAGGCAGGUUGACAUUUUUCAGAUGUCACUACCAAUGGGAAGAAUAGGAAAGGCAACUAAGAUAUUGUGGAAGGUAGAAUAAUCUCUCCUACCCCCCCAACCCCCAAAGAUGUCCACAUCCUAAUCCCUGGGAACUGUGAUUGUUACUUUACAUGUCAAACAGCACUUUUCAAAUGUGAUUGAAGGUAAGGACCUCGAGAUGGUGAGGUUAUUCUGGAUUACUCAGCUGGCCCCCUCUAAUCAUGAGUCCUUAAAUGCGGAAGAGGGAAUCAGAAGAGUGGGUCUGAGAGAUGUGACAUGAAAAGACUUGUCCUGCUGUUGAUGGGCUUUGAAGUUGGAGGAAGAGGGCCAUGAGCCAAGAAAUGUGGUUAUCUUUAGAAGCUGAGAACAGCUCUUAGUUUAUAGCCAGCAAGAAAACAGGGACCUUGGUCCUACAACAGCAAGAAACUGAAUUCUGCCAAAAUCUAAGUGAGCAGGAAAUGGAUUCUUCCCUACAGCCUCCUUCUGGAGGCAUACAUUCUACUAACACCUUGAUUUAAGUCCAGUCAGACCCAUAUCAGACUUACAGAACUGUAAGUUAAUAAAGUUUUGUUGUUUUAAGCCACUAAGUUUGUGGCGAUUUGUUAUGGAAGGAAUACAAAGUGAUACAGAUAUGCAACCUCUUAAUUUAUUGUCUUCCUGGAUAAAAGUAAAGUGUCUAUACUGUACAUAGGAGGUUUUGAACAUUUUUUAUUCAUUCUAAGCAACUUAAGUACUAUUGCUCAUGGCCAUCUUUUUCUGUGGCACAAAGUCUUUGUAAAUUCUAAACUUCUACCCAGAAUUUCCUCUGUGGUGACAUUAAGUAAAAGGUGAGUUUCUUCAAAGUAUUAUUUAAUAUAUUUGUGUGUUUUUCUCAUUAUACUGUCAUUCUUAUAAAGUGGAUGCUCCACUGUCAUGACAAGUAGUGGUACAUGUUCAGUCUUUACAUAAAUCUUAAGUCAUCUUCGUCAAGUACCUACUGUGUUCCACACCUCUGUUACUCCAGUGGUUUCUGCUCUUUUUUUCUCUAGGUUUUGUUUCUUGCCCGAACUCAUUUUGUUGGUAAUUAACAGAGCCAGUCUUUAAACCUAGACAGUCAAGCUCCAAUGUGCUGCACUGCCAUUGAGAUUGUUGCCCAGGAAAAAUUCACAGUAGUGUCAAGAAAUAACCAACAUAUAUAGACAGAGGAUCACUUAAGGUUAUUCAGAUUUGAGUAGUUGUGACUGUUUCCUCAGAUUCCUGGGCCUAACUCUUUACAAAGAGGAAGAGACAGAUUCAACACUUUUCUGCCUCUGUGGCAUUUUUUCCAUUUCUUCAAUAUUAAGUAUCUGUAUCAUUACUAUUUUCUCUAACAGGGGUUGGCAAACUACAAACCUUGGGGAAAUCAUUCUGUUAGUAAAUGUUAUUGGCACACAACCACAAUCAUUAAUUUGUAUAUCAUCUAUGGCUGCUUUGAGGCUACAACAGCAGAGUUGAGUAAUUGCAACAGACGCCCACAAGACCUAAAAUAUUUAUUAUCGGGCUCUUUACAGAAAGUUUGCAGACCGCUGUUUUCUAAUGUCAACAAAUGAGAUUUCCAGAGCUUUUAUAUUACCAAUUCAUCAUUCUGACCGGCCUCAUGUAUUCUCAUAAUGCCCAUUUUUGACUAGCUUUGAGAUAUGAUUCUUCCAUUUUUCUGAACUUGACCUCUUGCACUGAGAAUAAACAGACAUAACAAAACCUCAGAGGACUUCAGAGAAAGUCUGUAUUGUUUCCUCCCUACCUACCCUACUACCUAUUGUUUUUAGAAUUUCUGUCAAGAAUAUGCAGGAAAAGAAAUGAAAAAUAACAACAAAAAGAAUAUGCAGGAACUUUUCCAAGUCUUUACCCCAUGUGAUAAUUACUCACAUAAUGGAAUUUUUCAUGCAUGUGGCAUGAUCAAAAAUAAUGAUCUGCAUUUUAACAUAUGCACCAGAAACUAAAUUGAAAAUCACCAACUUGUCAAAAUAAUGCAGUGAAUUGAAACAAAAUCUCAGCAGAGAGAUUUUUUGAAAACAAAAAGAUAAUUCUUAUUAAAGACAGCUGUUUGUUGGGGACAUUAGUCAUUGCUUUUUGGCUGCUUAACCUCCGUACUGUCUUUUUAUUUCUUGAGAGUUCCCUAUUUUACAAGUUUUGGUGAUGGAGCUCAAUAUAUCAGCCACUUUUUUCUGAUGUUUCUUGCAGUGAAAGAGGCCUAGGCUCUGCUUAUGACUACCACAGAUAUUGAAUUGAGGGCGGGUGCUGCAAAGCAGCAAAUCCUGUAGAGAAACGACUCUGAUGGUCAUACCAGUUGUAGCAAGAGCAAAUUCAUAAAGGAGCAUGACAUUGAUGCCUGUGGUGACAUCCAGGGCACAGUGAGCAGUGCCACUGUGUAUUGGGUCAGAAGCUUCAGUUUGAUUGUUUGACAGUGGUGUUCAAAGGGUCCUGGCUGACCCAGCUUUGCUGUGCAUUUGGGACCUGCCACCCAGCUACCUAACCUCUGCAUAUUAUUCUGCUUUUUAAAAGGAUAUUGAGUAGCUCACAUAAUUGUAAGACAAUUAUGAGCUAUUUUUGCUCAUAUGGCUUCUAAAUUUUAACUAAAAAAAAUUAAACCAAGACCCUUUUAUGCAUGUUUACUUUAAAAUGCUAAAUUUUUAUAUACUAAAUUUAUUAAUUGCAAAGAAUGGAACUUCUAGCACAUAGUGUUUUGUUUAUGUGCUUUAAAUAUAUUUUCAUUAAAAUUGUAGCUGCAAAUUUAAGUCAUAUUUAUGGUAGAGCCCAUAUCCUUAUCAAACCCAUUAGCUGACUUUAUUUUUCUAUUUAAAUAAAUAUGUUACCCUGCAUCCUGUGAGUGCUGUUGGAGAGUCAGUCUACCAUGAGCCCUGAAAAAUCACUGCACAUUCUUUCCGGGGAUGCUGCUGGUGCAAAGCCCUGACUACUCCUUACCUAGGCAAGUUUUAUGUCUCGUAUAGGUAUAUUAGUAUAUAAUAAUAUCCAUUUCCCAUUUCUCUCAAAAUGACUUCACUGUGCUCCAGUGUACUUUCAGUUUUUGAUAUGUGCAUCUCCGCGUUUGAAGGCGUUUUCUGCACCCCUCUCCAUGUGUGGCAGGCUAGGAAUUCUGGGGAAUUAACACUCCCUCAGGGAGCAGUCUUCAGUCAGUGACUGAGUUUAUAAAUAACAGCCUCUUCAUCAACAAGGUGGGAUAAUCCAGGUGCUGUAUCUCUGCUCAUUCAACAGUAGUGGCUUAACUGUGCACAUUUUAUUGACUCACUUCCUUUCCUUAUAACCCUUCUCCACUCCCUUACUGGUUUUCCCUAAAUAAUCUACUUGCACUUAAAUUCUUGCCCCAGGAUCUGCUUUUGGGAGAACUCAAACUAAGAUAGAGAUCAAAAGUACUCUUCCUUUAAAAAGGUCUCUAUCUUGAGUUAGGAGCAGGAGUCUAGCCCCAGUCCUUGUCAUCAUUUGACUUCACCUGAUUCUCUUUUAUGUGAAGCAAAGGACAGGGUAGGGUUUCUCCCCAUCUUCACACAUCUGCACAAGCCUCCCUAAAUAUUCCUGAGUGGGUAGUCUUUCCUACCACCAAAGUUGGUCUAAAGUGGAUUGUUUACUCAAAAACAAAAUUCCUGUCUUUAGUAGACCAUAGACUGUCUGCUGCACCAGACUUCAACUUGGGCCACUUAUGUAGCAAGAAAUGAUACAAAGAAGUAACUUAGUUAUCUGAUUGUGGCACAGCUAACAUUUAUUUCAUGGUGUUAGGACCGACUGUUGACUGUGGGUUGCCACUUAACCUCAUCAAGCUGGAAAUGUAAAGAGUAGAGUGAGCCCACAUUUCAGAGCUGCUCUGACCUACUGAUUCAUUCCUCUGGGAGGUUGAGAUCCCCAGACUCUGAGAGAACCUCCCGCUUGUUGCAGCCACGAAUCUAUAUUCUAAUCUCAUGUAUAUCAUUUGCCUUGCUUGCUUACUGGUUCAAAGCAAGCCAAGGUGAGAGCGCUGUUAGGUGAAUGUGAGAUGCCAUUCUCACCUGUCCUCCAGCAAUAACAACCUCUCUCUGUGGACUGGCAUAGGUGGUCACCACCAAAUAAACCUGAACAUCCUGCAAGCAUAUUGGGCUCUUCAAGCAAACAUUUGACAAAUUUGAUCUCACCUUCCUUCCCAACACCACAGUGAUCUAGUUGUGGCUUUCAAGAAGCCUGAGCCAAACUCGCAGUGUGGAGAUGUUAGUUAGUCAUGGAGAUGAAGGUAUAAGCUACCCAGGCCUUUUCCCCGGAGUAAUUGGGCAUGGGCUGGUGAACUUGCAAGGGCCUGGUGUUUAUGGAAUUUCACUCUUACCAAUUUGGUAAAAAAAAAAAAAAAAAAAAAAAAAAAAAAAAAAAAAAAAUUAAAAAGUAUGUUUCCACAGAGCAUCGUGCUGUGAGCCUGUGAUCUCAGCUACUUGGUAGACUGAGAUGAGAGAUCACUUGAGUGCAGAAAUUCGAGGCUAUAGUGAGCUGUGAUCACACUAUUGCACUCUAGCCUGGGCGAGAGUGAAUCCCUGUCUCCAAAGUAAAUAAAUUAAUUAAAAGUGUGUUUUCAUUUCUUAUCUCAGAGAAUCUUUGUGAAAAUAGCUCUUCUUGCUUCUGUUGUAGCUGGCCCUUCUUUGCCUUCCCCAGAGUUUAGACGGAAGACCAGAAGACCCUGAGUGAAGAAAAAGAUCUUCUUUGUAGUCUCUUUUCAUUCCAUACAAAUAGAUGACUAUAAACACAUUAGACAUUACCAGUCUAUUUGCAGCAGUCGACACAACUUUACCUUAAAUUUUCCUCCCCCAGCAUGCCUCUCCAAAGAAACUUACACAGAAAACCUCACUAACGUUAGAUGUUGCACUGGGCUUUAACCUUUUCUACUCACUCAUUCAGAAAUCUUUAAUGAAAGUUUGACAUGUUAAAAAAAAAAGAACAAUUAUUUUCACAGAGAAUAUUAGAAACGAGUAAGACACAUUUUCUUAAGACUUUUACCUUUUUCAUGGAAUGUGUGUGUGUGUAUACAUGUCUGUUUGUAUGUAUAUAACAUUAACCACCAUAGGAAAGCAGAAAGAAAAUAUGCAGUGGUAUGUAUUGCCACACAGAUACUGCUGGGAACAGUAUCUCUCUUUGCACAGAAACUUUUCAGUUUCUCUGUGGGUGGUGUCUCUUGCCCCUUUCAGUUCCCAAGAUAAUUGGGUAUCCAGAGGUCACUACUAGACAGAGAGCCUUAUUUCCUGACCAUUGUCAAUUCUACAAACGGUGGAGCAAAGUGCCAGAUACUGAGACAGUCAUUGGCUCUCUGAAGCUAAAUAAGAUACUGUUCCUGCUUUUGAGGAGUUUAGGUUGUAAUGAUAUCUUUUCUAAAAUGAAUAGAAUUAGCUGAGGUGGUUCUCCCUGUAUUGAGUUUGGGUUGGCAGGCAAGGAAAUGGAGUUAUGCACAAUUGGCUCAACGUUCAAUGGGCACAAAAUCUUAGAUGAAAAUGAGAAUUGGAAGGAUCCUGUUUUAGCAUUAGUGAAUUAUUCCUUGUAUCCAAUAAGUAGAGUGAUGGACAAAGGUCUCUCUGGGACUAAUUAGGAGAGACAAAUCCAAUUUAGAAGGCUGAUACAAAAUUUCUAGAUUGGUUUAAAAAUCAGUUGAAUCAAUUAAUGUCUCCUCCUGCCUGAGAUAGUGGAAUAACUUGCCAAUAUUGAUUUAGAGAGUUUAUUGAUGUCUCUUGGUCAUUUCACUUCUUGACUGGCUCCCCUAAUAUGCCAUACCCUCCACUCAAGGCUCUGCAGUGGAUUCUCAUCUGCUGAGGGGCAGGUUCAAGUCCAUGCACAGGAUGCCUCGAUUAUUUCAUCCUGAAUCAUAACUCCCUAGUCUACGCCAUUUGUUCAAAAUUCUAGGAGAGCUACUCUACCCACAUUGGGCUCCAGGUGAAUAAGAAAUAAAUGUUGUAUAACAACAAAUUUGGGUUUAACUCUACACUAAGAUUUUUUUUUUCAUUUUGUAAAUGAGGUUUAAAUUUGGGUGAAGGUUGUAUAUCAUACAUAAUUUCUGUUUAAGUUUAUUAGUGAAGUAAUUCUGAGGCAGUUUCAUGAGUGCAAUUAACAAAUAUUUUAUCCAGGAGAAGUUUUCCUGGAAGAACAGAAAUACACUGGAAAGUUUU
rnacentral:lncRNA from 1 species